rnacentral:sRNA from 1 species
UCAGCCUCAAGGCCUCCUCCCACAAAGACUGAUGGCUCCGUGACUCUGGACAAUGGCAUCAUCCGAGUGAAGCUGGACCCAACUGGUCGCCUGACGUCCUUGGUCCUGGUGGCCUCUGGCAGGGAGGCCAUUGCUGAGGGCGCCGUGGGGAACCAGUUUGUGCUAUUUGAUGAUGUCCCCUUGUACUGGGAUGCAUGGGACGUCAUGGACUACCACCUGGAGACACGGUAUAGGCUGGGCAGCAUGUGGUAUAGGCUGGGCAGCAUGUGGGGAUGGUGGAGGUGGUGGGAACACAGGCUGCUCUGGAUCAGUAUGUCCACCCCUGUCCCAUAGGAAGCCUGUGCUGGGCCAGGCAGGGACCCUGGCAGUGGGCACCGAGGGCGGCCUGCGGGGCAGCGCCUGGUUCUUGCUACAGAUCAGCCCCAACAGUCGGCUUAGCCAGGAGGUCGUGCUGGACGUUGGCUGCCCCUAUGUCCGCUUCCACACCGAGGUACACUGGCAUGAGGCCCACAAGUUCCUGAAGGUGGAGUUCCCUGCUCGCGUGCGGAGUUCCCAGGCCACCUAUGAGAUCCAGUUUGGGCACCUGCAGCGACCUACCCACUACAAUACCUCUUGGGACUGGGCUCGAUUUGAGGUGUGGGCCCAUCGCUGGAUGGAUCUGUCGGAACACGGCUUUGGGCUGGCCCUGCUCAACGACUGCAAGUAUGGCGCGUCAGUGCGAGGCAGCAUCCUCAGCCUCUCGCUCUUGCGGGCGCCUAAAGCCCCGGACGCUACUGCUGACACGGGGCGCCACGAGUUCACCUACGCGCUGAUGCCGCACAAGG